UGGGGAAUUUUGGACAAUGGGCGAAAGCCUGAUCCAGCAAUGCCGCGUGUGUGAAGAAGGCCUUCGGGUUGUAAAGCACUUUUGUCCGGAAAGAAAUCCUUGGCUCUAAUACAGUCGGGGGAUGACGGUACCGGAAGAAUAAGCACCGGCUAACUACGUGCCAGCAGCCGCGGUAAUACGUAGGGUGCAAGCGUUAAUCGGAAUUACUGGGCGUAAAGCGUGCGCAGGCGGUUUGCUAAGACCGAUGUGAAAUCCCCGGGCUCAACCUGGGAACUGCAUUGGUGACUGGCAGGCUAGAGUAUGGCAGAGGGGGGUAGAAUUCCACGUGUAGCAGCGAAAUGCGUAGAGAUGUGGAGGAAUACCGAUGGCGAAGGCAGCCCCCUGGGCCAAUACUGACGCUCAUGCACGAAAGCGUGGGGAGCAAACAGGAUUAGAUACCCUGGUAGUCCACGCCCUAAAACGAUGUCAACUAGUUGUUGGGGAUUCAUUUCCUUAGUAACGUAGCUAACGCGUGAAGUUGACCGCCUGGGAAGUACGGUCGCAAGAUUAAAACUCAAAUGAAUUGACGGGGUCAUAGCUGUUU
rnacentral:rRNA from 1 species